GAGAAUUGAGGGGUUUUGCCCAUUGUGUGUGUGAUUUUUGAUUUGUGUGUAGAGUUCUGAGAGUAUGAGGCAUGCUUUCAGAAAAUGUGUGUAAACAAUCGAGAAAAACUGUAACUAUGGAUUGAAUUAUCUGGUGUAUUUCAGGUUGCAACGGAUGUGCCAGUGGGAUGUAAUACUUCCUGUCUUGCAGCUGUCUAUUAGCCUUUAUAAGAUAACUAGUGCGAUCCUGGAGGACAAUCUGGCCAUCCUUAUCUACUGGUUUAAUAAUGAUGUCCAGCUUCAUUAAACUUGAUUUUGGCAUCAGGAAAGGUCUGUUUUGCCAUGCUAACUAAAAGGCCCAAUUUUUUGUCUGUCAUCGCUGGGAGAAGACGCUUCAGACAGUUAUUUAAACCAACUGACAUGAUUACCUCGCGCACCUUCUUGGCAGGCUUAGGUUUUUAAAACAUUUCUUGAAUGUAAUGACAAGUAGCUCCUGGAAAACUAUCGACUUGAAUGUCCACAUUGUCAAAGAUAGGAAUGUGGGCAAGAUUGGAAUCACCCAGAAUGGCGACGAAUUUGACCACAUCUAAAUUCUACUCUUUAAUUUUCCUAUAAGUAUUAGGGUGUCUCUUAGGCUCCUUCCUAGAGGCUCCAGGGCGAGGGGGGGGGGGGUACCAGUGGCUGAAUGACAUCCUCAGAGUUUACCAGUAAGUCAUUAGUCUCCGUUCUUUUGGUAACCUUCCUCAUCGGAUGUGCCACCGUAUUCAAUUUGGUUACUCUAGCCUUCACGUCACUCAAAUUCCUGUCACGUCGUGUUCCAAGAAAUGCCCCAUUAUGUUCAAUGGGGAUUUCCUGUGACGAGGGGAGAGAUGAGAUGGAGUCCGGUAUUACUGUUGCUACAUUAUUUAAACAAAGUAGGUUAUUAUUUAUUACCAAACUAUUACUUAUUGAUUCUCUAUUGUUUUCUACGUUAACAUCCUCAUGUUCUGAAGUCUGUCAAACUCAUCAAGUUGCGCAUUUUCUUCUACAUUUACGUUGGCAUGGGAGAUGGCAGUUGCUGAUCACGUGUGCAGUAAUUAACAUCAGAGGUGACAGAUGGGCAGAUAGGACGCACCAUUUUGGGCUGUAGCCUCCAUUGACGGAGUCGAGUCAGUCGGUCUGUCUGGUUUAGGAGUUGUCUCCUUUGUUUGAUGUGUAAUAACAUCAGAAGAACCCCCCCGUUCUCGUUGGUGGACUCUGUGGAAAUGGCACUGGUAAGUUAUUAGCAGCUAUAUUAGUGCUAUUUUUGCCGUUAUUAGUCUGAAUACCUGGCUUUAUAGCAGUCUGUGAUGGUGUUAUUGGUCAUGUGUCUGACUCGGGUUAGGGGUUAGGGUUUAUUGGACACGAAGCAAGUUCGGCUAAGCUAGCUAGCAAGAGCUGGGUCAGCGGCAUGGCCAUUGUCGAAAGGAGGCCUGCGCUGGGUCGCCAUGGAGACUGUCGCCAAUGGAGGGCGCUUCGCUGCCACAGUAGGACAUGGUGGUUUAUUGCUGCGAGCAUUUUGUUUUCACAGACUAACCUCUCCUCACAACGAGGCCGUGACCUCCUAUUUGUUCGGAGUUAUGUCUGCAAGUCCAGAUUUACAUGAUGCUGAUAAUGACGCCAUUGUGUCUGCCUGUAAGACAUUACGAGACAGUGUGCAGGAGCUUCAGGUACAAACAACCAGAUCUUGCAUCGCAGGCGGAAGCUGUGAAGAGUUCAGCUCAGAGUUGAUCGAGAAGAAAGAGGCUGCUGGAAACGAGACAGUGUGCUCUCUGAGGAUGAGGUGGACCUUUGGAAGUGCACCACCAUUAUGUCUGUCACUUUUUAAAAAAAUGAAGUUCGAACAAAUUUUGAAAUGGCAUGCAAUUUAUUUGAAUGAAUAUUUGAAUUGAGGGCAGUAGGCAGUCAGAUGAGGUUGUACACUCACCUGCUAACGUUAGUGUAAGAGGUAAUCUGCACAUUUGUUGCCAUUGUAGAGUCAGACAGCUGCUUUGUACAAAGUCGACAAACAGCUUUGUUAGUUACUUUUCCAUCUACGAUGUAGAACAGUAAAUACUUCCAUACACUUCAUCUCAGAUGCUUUGGUGUCGUGAUUGUCCGCUCAGGACGGCUUUGCUCGCUAGUGUCCUUUAGAUUCGUGGCAAACAAGGGUUAAUAGGGCGUGCGAUAGGUCAAGCUGAUUUAGAGCGCCCUCUGCUGGAUCACAAGGCAAAUGACUUCAUACGGUCUGUUGCGCUUAUAUACUGUACAUUUUGAUUUCGAAAAGGUCAUUACAUUCGAAUAAGAACUUUUCCACCCACUUCGAACAAAUAUUCAAAUUUCGAAUAAAAAGUGACAGCCCUAACUACCAUAGACCUAAUGUCUGAUGAGGAAGACGGCAGGGUGUCUGGAUGGAUUGUGCGACCUCCGUCCCUUCACAGACAGCUCUGAUUAUCUGACAGUAAACGGUGAAAGUCUGCCUCUUGUUGCCUCUUAAUGGUCAUUCCUAGAAACUGCAAAUGGAACUUUUAAAUAUAUGUUCCCUGCCAAACCUUCCUGGCCAAUGACCUUAUUGUAGAUUUUUUUUGUUUUUUUUCUGAAACUUGCUUAAACUCCGAUGCACCUGCUAUAUUCAUCUAAAUGACAUUUCCAAUUCUUGCAGAUGGGGAAAGAGGGAAGGGUGGGUUGGCUACCAUUGUGUGUAAGGCCUCUGAGUGUAGGCAUUUGAUGUUUUUAGCUCUUUUGAAUAUUUUGCUACUGUUUUUAACUGUCAACCAUAUUAAAAAUCACUGUAUAUAUUUGGACAGUUCCAAAUAACUGUCCAAAGUUAAAAUGGAUUUUUCAAAGCUUUUAUAUAAUAUGAAUACAAAUUACAACAAAAUUCUUAGUGUUGGUGAUUUUAAUUCGCACAUGGACAGUCUCUUGAACAUCUUGGUUUCAAGUCUAUGGACAUACCCACAAUCGUGUUCAUACUUAGUGAGGGCUGAAUGUGGAAAUUUCAUCAAUGAGUUUAAAAUGUAUUAGAAAUAUUACAUUUCUUAAAGUUUUUUUAUCAGUUUUUAACUCAAUCACAUCGAUUACAAAACAGUCUCAGAAGUCACCUUUGCAUAGUUUAGGACAACAUUUACUACAACAUGGCUCAGAGGUGUGUUAUUAAGUGGACUGAACCAAC